rnacentral:rRNA from 1 species
UAAUACGUAGGGGGCGAGCGUUGUCCGGAUUUAUUGGGCGUAAAGAGCGCGUAGGUGGUUUGUAAAGUCGGAUGUGAAAGUCCAGGGCUUAACCCUGGGAUGCCAUUCGAUACUUGCAGACUAGAGCAUGGUAGGGGGAUCUGGAAUUCCUGGUGUAGCGGUGAAAUGCGCAGAUAUCAGGAGGAACACCGGUGGCGAAGGCGGGAUCCUGGGCCAUUGCUGACACUGAGGCGCGAAAGCUGGGGGAGCAAACAGGAUUAGAUACCCUGGUAGUCCCAGCCGUAAACGAUGGGUGCUAGGUGUGGGAGGCUAUCGACGCCUUCCGUGCCGCAGCUAACGCAUUAAGCACCCCGCCUGGGGAGUACGGCCGCAAGGCUA